rnacentral:misc_RNA from 1 species
GAUGAAGAACGUAGCGAAAUGCGAUAAGUAAUGUGAAUUGCAGAAUUCAGUGAAUCAUCGAAUCUUUGAACGCACAUUGCGCCCGCCAGUAUUCUGGCGGGCAUGCCUGUUCGAGCGUCAUUUCAACCCUCAAGCCCCCGGGCUUGGUGUUGGGGAUCGGCGUGCCCUCGCGGCGCGCCGUCCCCUAAAUCUAGUGGCGGUCUCGCUGUAGCUUCCUCUGCGUAGUAGCAACACUCGCACUGGAUCGCAGCGCGGCCACGCCGUUAAACCCCCCACCUCUGAAAGUUUGACCUCGGAUCAGGUAGGAAUACCCGCUGAACUUAAGCAUAUCAAUAAGCGGAGGA